rnacentral:rRNA from 1 species
GACGAACGCUGGCGGCGUGCUUAACACAUGCAAGUCGAACGGAAAGGCCCCUUUGGUGGUACUCGAGUGGGGAACGGGCGAGUAACACGUGAGUAACCUGCCCUUGCCUUCGGGAUAACUUCAGGAAACUGGGGCUAAUACCGGAUAGGAAUCCUUGCUGCAUGGUGGGGGUUGGAAAGCUUCGGCGGUUUUGGAUGGACUCGCGGCUUAUCUGCUUGUUGGUGGGGUAGUGGCUUACCAAGGCUUUGACGGGUAGCCGGCCUGGGAGGGCGACCGGCCACCAUGGGACUGAGAUACGGCCCAGACUCCUACGGGAGGCAGCAGUGGGGAAUAUUGCACAAUGGGCGGAAGCCUGAUGCAGCAACGCCGCGUGCGGGAUGACGGCCUUCGGGUUGUAAACCGCUUUCAGCAGGGGCGAAGCUUGUGGUGACGGUACCUGCAGAAGAAGCACCGGCUAACUACGUG